rnacentral:rRNA from 1 species
UACAGAGGGUGCAAGCGUUGUUCGGAAUUAUUGGGCGUAAAGGGCGCGUAGGCGGUGCGGUAAGUCCGCAGUGAAAUCUCUGGGCUCAACUCAGAGUCUGCUGUGGAAACUGCCGUGCUUGAGUGUGGGAGAGGUGAGUGGAAUUCCCGGUGUAGCGGUGAAAUGCAUAGAUAUCGUCAAGAACACCGAUAGCGAAGGCAGCCAACUAGGGGUUAACUGACGCUGAGGCACGAAAGUGCGGGAUCAAACAGG